rnacentral:rRNA from 1 species
AAUGAACGUUGGCGGCGCGCCUAACACAUGCAAGUCGAGCGAGAAAGCUCCUUCGGGAGCGAGUAAAGCGGCGAACGGUUGAGUAACACGUGAGAAUUUACCCUUCAGUGAAGAAUACCCUCGAGAAAUCGAGGCUAAUGCUGCAUACGUCCCUCCGGGGAGAAAGGUGGCCUCUUUGCUGCCGCUGAAGGAUAAGCUUGCGGCUUAUCAGCUUGUUGGUGAGGUAAAGGCUCACCAAGGCGAUGACGAGUAGCCGGCCUGAGAGGGUGAUCGGCCAGACUGGAACUUAGACACGGUCCAGACUCCUACGGGAGGCAGCAGUGGGGAAUAUUGCGCAAUGGGCGAAAGCCUGACGCAGCGACGCCGCGUGGAGGAUGAAGGCUUUCGAGUCGUAAACUCCUGUUAAGUGGGAAGAAAGCUUCAUGUAUAAUACAUAUGAAGGAUGACGGUACCAUUAGAGAAAGCACCGGCUAAACUCGUG